rnacentral:rRNA from 1 species
UUUUGGAGGGCAAGUCUGGUGCCAGCAGCCGCGGUAAUUCCAGCUCCAAUAGCGUAUAUUAAAGUUGUUGCAGUUAAAAAGCUCGUAGUUGAAUGUUUGAUUUAACUGUAAUGUCUUGCCUUACGGUAGGUACAUUCACAGUUGAAUCUUUCCUUCUGGGGAACUAUAGUGCACUUUACUGGGUGCUAUAGGGAUCCAGGACUUUUACUUUGAAAAAAUUAGAGUGUUUAAAGCAGGCGUUUGCUUGAAUACAUUAGCAUGGAAUAAUAGAACAGGACCUCAGUUCUGUUUCUGUUGGUUUUCGGAACCGAGGUAAUGAUUAAUAGGGACAGUUGGGGGCAUUAGUACUGCAGUGUCAGAGGUGAAAUUCUUGGAUUUCUGCAAGACUAACUUAUGCGAAAGCAUUUGCCAAGGAUGUUUUCAUUAAUCAAGAACGAAAGUUAGGGGAUCGAAGACGAUUAGAUACCGUCGUAGUCUUAACCAUAAACUAUGCCGACUAGGGAUCGGACGUUGUUAACUUAUGACACGUUSGGCGCCUUACGGGAAAC